GACGAACGCUGGUGGCGUGCCUAAUACAUGCAAGUUGAGCGCUGAAGGUUGGUACUUGUACCAACUGGAUGAGCAGCGAACGGGUGAGUAACGCGUGGGGAAUCUGCCUUUGAGCGGGGGACAACAUUUGGAAACGAAUGCUAAUACCGCAUAAAAACUUUAAACACAAGUUUUAAGUUUGAAAGAUGCAAUUGCAUCACUCAAAGAUGAUCCCGCGUUGUAUUAGCUAGUUGGUGAGGUAAAGGCUCACCAAGGCGAUGAUACAUAGCCGACCUGAGAGGGUGAUCGGCCACAUUGGGACUGAGACACGGCCCAAACUCCUACGGGAGGCAGCAGUAGGGAAUCUUCGGCAAUGGACGAAAGUCUGACCGAGCAACGCCGCGUGAGUGAAGAAGGGUUUCGGAUCGUAAAACUCUGUUGGUAGAGAAGAACGUUGGUGAGAGUGGAAAGCUCAUCAAGUGACGGUAACUACCCAGAAAGGGACGGCUAACUACGUG
rnacentral:rRNA from 1 species